AAAAUCACAGAAAUUUUAUUUAGACCACUAAUGCAGAAAUACAAAUAUGUGUGUGUGUGUAACAAACAAAUUGUUAUGUGCAAGGCGCAAGGCAAAGUAUCAGGAAAAAUUUUAAAUUCUUAAUACUUGCAGUUUAAAACUGAGUUGAGUGGAUAAGGCAAACAUUUGGAAGUUAAAAAGUAACAGCAUUUAAACAACGCAAUGGUACACAAGGUAAAAUAAAAGGCAACAGUCAAUGACUAAAUCCUGAAAGAUACUGAAGAGCUCUUUUGGGCUAGCAAGGUAAGCAAAAGCUUCAUGGAGAGGUAAGAUGUCCACUGGUUCCCAAAGGAUGGGCAGCAUGCCAGACAUCAUCCAUUUGCCCUCUAGGCUCACUGUAUCCUCCUUUCCAUUCUGCUCUCUGUCAGAGGGAUUACAUCACUAGGCUCCCCUGUCCUCUGCCUUCUGGUUGAGGUCAGCCAAUGAAGAACCAUGACAGAUCAGAGGGAGGUAGCAGAGUGAGAUCAGAAUAUUCAUCGUCCUGGUUCUCUACCUCUAGGUCACCUUGGAUUGGCUGUGUUCCUCAAUAGAAGGCUAUUUCUUUCCAGAUGAGAAACCUGAGACUCACAGACACAAAGUGGUAACUGGUUUAAGAACAGGAAUCCAGGCCAAUCUCACUCUAAAACCAUGCUUUCUCUAAUACACCAAUUUUCAUCUUAAUUCUCAAUGAGAAUAAAAAUGUACAAAAUAUCAA
rnacentral:lncRNA from 1 species